GUAGUCCACGCCGUAAACGGUGGGCACUAGUUGUGGGGACCUUCCACGGUCUCUGCGACGCAGCUAACGCAUUAAGUGCCCCGCCUGGGGAGUACGAUCGCAAGAUUAAAACUCAAAGGAAUUGACGGGGCCCCGCACAAGCAGCGGAGCAUGCGGCUUAAUUCGACGCAACGCGAAGAACCUUACCAAGGCUUGACAUAUACAGGAAUAUGGCAGAGAUGUCAUAGCCGCAAGGUCUGUAUACAGGUGGAGCAUGGUUGUCGUCAGCUCGUGUCGUGAGAUGUUGGGUUAAGUCCCGCAACGAGCGCAACCCUCGUUCUGUGUUGCCAGCAUUUAGUUGGGGACUCACAGGAGACUGCCGGGGUUAACUCGGAGGAAGGUGGGGAUGACGUCAAAUCAUCAUGCCCUUUAUGUCUUGGGCUGCACGCAUGCUACAAUGGCUGGUACAAACGGCUGCGAUACCGCAAGGUGGAGCGAAUCCGAUAAAGCCAGUCUCAGUUCGGAUUGGGGUCUGCAACUCGACCCCAUGAAGUCGGAGUUGCUAGUAAUCGUAGAUCAGCAACGCUACGGUGAAUACGUUCCCGGGGCUUGUACACACCGCCCGUCACGUCACGAAAGUCGGUAACACCCGAAGUCAGCGGCCCAACCGCAAGGAGGGAGCUG
rnacentral:rRNA from 1 species